CACGUAGGGUGCGAGCGUUGUCCGGAAUUAUUGGGCGUAAAGAGCUCGUAGGCGGUGUGUCGCGUCGGCCGUGAAAACCUGCAGCUUAACUGUGGGCUUGCGGUCGAUACGGGCAGGCUUGAGUUCGGUAGGGGAGACUGGAAUUCCUGGUGUAGCGGUGAAAUGCGCAGAUAUCAGGAGGAACACCGGUGGCGAAGGCGGGUCUCUGGGCCGAUACUGACGCUGAGGAGCGAAAGCAUGGGGAGCAAACAGG
rnacentral:rRNA from 1 species